rnacentral:piRNA from 1 species
CCAAACCGUAUCUGAUCACAAGAGUA